rnacentral:misc_RNA from 1 species
UUUCCGUAGGUGAACCUGCGGAAGGAUCAUUACAGAGUUCAUGCCCUCACGGGUAGAUCUCCCACCCUUGAAUAUUUAUACCUUAGUUGCUUUGGCAGGCCGUGGAAACACCAUGGGCUCCGGCUUAUGCGUGCCUGCCAGAGGAAACAAACUCUGUUUUUAGUGAUGUCUGAGUACUAUAUAAUAGUUGAAACUUUCAACAACGGAUCUCUUGGUUCUG